rnacentral:lncRNA from 1 species
CAGCCGCUGGAGGAGGAGGUGGAGGCAUCUGCGGUGGAAGAGGAGGAGUCGAAGAAACUCUCUGAGAAGUCUGAGAGUCUGGAACUGCAUCGGAAGACGAUGGACCGGAAGAAGAUGUACCGGAACCAUCGCCAAACAACUGGGCAUAAGUAGGUGCUGCUGGUUUCCUCCUAGGAGCCAUCUAAAAAAAAUUAAAAUAAAUUUAAUCAAUUACGACAUAAUUAAAAAAUUAUUCUGUUACAUAACUAAUCACCUAAACUAUAGUAUUCCGUCACCUAACUAAUCACCUAAACUAAUUACCUAACUAAUUAAUCACCUAAACUAACUUUAAAAAAAAAUAGAAGAGGAAAGGGAGUGUACCUUAGAGGGAGAGCAAAGGAAUUUGGGAGGAAUGAACGAGGCAGCCUCGCUCUCGGCGUCUCAAUAUAUAGAAAACGUUUCGUCGUAAAUGCGACGUAAUAUUACGACGAAGUUACCAGACCCGCAUUUUUCCAUUUACGACGAAGUUACCAGGCCCGCGUUUUUUCAUUUACGACGAAAUUACGUGGAAUAACCAUUUACGACGAAGUUACCAUGUCCGUGUUAUUUUUACUACGAUUUUACAACGCUUAACCCUAAACACCGAGAAUGAAAUCCCUAAACCCCAAAGUCACAUAGCAUCUAACAUCAUAUCUUCUUCUCUACUACUUCUUGCUCUUUCUCCAACUUAAACUCUAAAACCCUAAAACUCCAAAUAAAUUUUUAAAAACUAAAGAAAUACAUAUUAUAUAAAACAACAUUUGUUACACAUACAUUAAGAUGGUAAAAAAACAAUAUUUCUUUAAAUAUACGUUACAUAUAUUACAUCACUCUAAAUCGUUUUCGUGCUCAUCAAUAUUACAUCACUCUAAAUCGUUUUCGUUCUCAU